rnacentral:rRNA from 1 species
ACCGCAAAACAAGCAGAGGGGGCUUAGUGGUGGGGUGACUGCGUACCUUUUGUAUAAUGGGUCAGCGACUUAUAUUCUGUAGCAAGGUUAACCGAAUAGGGGAGCCGGAGGGAAACCGAGUCUUAAUUGGGCGUUAAGUUGCAGGGUAUAGACCCGAAACCCGGUGAUCUAGCCAUGGGCAGGUUGAAGGUUGGGUAACACUAACUGGAGGACCGAACCGACUAAUGUUGAAAAAUUAGCGGAUGACCUGUGGCUGGGGGUGAAAGGCCAAUCAAACCGGGAGAUAGCUGGUUCUCCCCGAAAGCUAUUUAGGUAGCGCCUCGUGAAUUCAUCUCCGGGGGUAGAGCACUGUUUCGGCUAGGGGGCCAUCCCGGCUUACCAACCCGAUGCAAACUGCGAAUACCGGAGAAUGUUAUCACGGGAGACACACGGCGGGUGCUAACGUCCGUCGUGAAGAGGGAAACAACCCAGACCGCCAGCUAAGGUCCCAAAGUCAUGGUUAAGUGGGAAACGAUGUGGGAAGGCCCAGACAGCCAGGAUGUUGGCUUAGAAGCAGCCAUCAUUUAAAGAAAGCGUAAUAGCUCACUGGUCGAGUCGGCCUGCGCGGAAGAUGUAACGGGGCUAAACCAUGCACCGAAGCUGCGGCAGCGAACGUAUCACUUAAAGCGAUUCAGCGGGUUACGAUUGACGGAGCGAAGCGACGUCAAAGCGUAUACAAAGUCGAGUCGGUUUAAGGAUACGUUCGUUGGGUAGGGGAGCGUUCUGUAAGCCUGCGAAGGUGGCCUGUGAGGGUUGCUGGAGGUAUCAGAAGUGCGAAUGCUGACAUAAGUAACGAUAAAGCGGGUGAAAAGCCCGCUCGCCGGAAGACCAAGGGUUCCUGUCCAACGUUAAUCGGGGCAGGGUGAGUCGACCCCUAAGGCGAGGCCGAAAGGCGUAGUCGAUGGGAAACGGGUUAAUAUUCCC